rnacentral:tRNA from 2 species
AAGAAAAUAGCGCUAGAACUGCUAACUCUGGCCCCUGGGACCAAUACACCCAGACUUCUU